GAUCCUGGCUCAGGACGAACGCUGGCGGCGCGCCUAACACAUGCAAGUCGAACGGAGUCAAGAGGAGCUUGCUUUUCUUGACUUAGUGGCGAACGGGUGAGUAACGCGUGAGUAACCUGCCCUGGAGUGGGGGACAACAGUUGGAAACGACUGCUAAUACCGCAUAAGCCCACGGCCCGGCAUCGGGCUGCGGGAAAGGGAUUUAUUCGCUUCAGGAUGGACUCGCGUCCAAUUAGCUAGUUGGUGAGGUAACGGCCCACCAAGGCGACGAUUGGUAGCCGGACUGAGAGGUUGAACGGCCACAUUGGGACUGAGACACGGCCCAGACUCCUACGGGAGGCAGCAGUGGGGGAUAUUGCACAAUGGGGGAAACCCUGAUGCAGCGACGCCGCGUGGAGGAAGAAGGUUUUCGGAUUGUAAACUCCUGUCGUUAGGGACGAUAAUGACGGUACCUAACAAGAAAGCACCGGCUAACUACGUGCCAGCAGCCGCGGUAAAACGUAGGGUGCAAGCGUUGUCCGGAAUUACUGGGUGUAAAGGGAGCGCAGGCGGACCGGCAAGUUGGAAGUGAAAACUAUGGGCUCAACCCAUAAAUUGCUUUCAAAACUGCUGGCCUUGAGUAGUGCAGAGGUAGGUGGAAUUCCCGGUGUAGCGGUGGAAUGCGUAGAUAUCGGGAGGAACACCAGUGGCGAAGGCGACCUACUGGGCACCAACUGACGCUGAGGCUCGAAAGCAUGGGUAGCAAACAGGAUUAGAUACCCUGGUAGUCCAUGCCGUAAACGAUGAUUACUAGGUGUUGGAGGAUUGACCCCUUCAGUGCCGCAGUUAACACAAUAAGUAAUCCACCUGGGGAGUA
rnacentral:rRNA from 1 species